GUGCUCACUUUUGCAGCACAUACACUAAAAUUGGAACAAUACAGAGAUUAGCACGGCCCCUGUCUGUGCAAGGAUGACAUGCAAAUUCGUGAAGUGUUAACUUUAUGU
ensembl:snRNA U6 U6 spliceosomal RNA